rnacentral:rRNA from 1 species
UACGUAGGCAGCGAGCGUCGUUCGGAGUUACUGGGCGUAAAGAGUGCGUAGGCGGUUUUUUAAGUUUGGUGUGAAAUCUCCCGGCUCAACUGGGAGGGUGCGCCGAAAACUGGAAGGCUUGAGUAUGGGAGAGGUAUGCGGAAUUCCUGGUGUAGCGGUGAAAUGCGUAGAUAUCAGGAGGAACACCUGUGGUGUAGACAGCAUACUGGACCAUCACUGACGCUGAGGCACGAAAGCGUGGGUAGCAAACAGG